GAUGAACGCUGGCGGCGUGCCUAACACAUGCAAGUCGAACGGAGACGUUUUGGAAAUCUCUUCGGAGAUGGAGUUCUCGACUUAGGGGCGGCCGGGUGAGUAACGCGUGAGCAAUCUGCCAUUAAGAGGGGGAUAACAGUCGGAAACGGCUGCUAAUACCGCAUAAAGCAUUAAAUUCGCAUGUUUUUGCUGCCAAAGGAGCAAUCCGCUUUUAGAUGAGCUCGCGUCUGAUUAGCUCGUUGGCGGGGUAACGGCCCACCAAGGCGACGGUCAGUAGCCGGGCUGGGAGGUUGAGCGGCCACAGUGCGACUGUGACACGCACCAGACUCCUGCGGGCGGCAGCAGUGGGUAAUAUUGCGCAAUGGGGGAAACCCUGACGCAGCAACGCCGCGGGAUUGAAGAAGGCCUUCGGGUUGUAAAGAUCUUUAAUCAGGGACGAAACAAAUGCCGGUACCUGAAGAAUAAGCCCCGGCUACCUCCGU
rnacentral:rRNA from 1 species